GAUGAACGCUGGCGGCGUGCCUAAUACAUGCAAGUCGAGCGAACGGACGAGAAGCUUGCUUUUCUGAUGUUAGCGGCGGACGGGUGAGUAACACGUGGAUAACCUACCUAUAAGACUGGGAUAACUUCGGGAAACCGGAGCUAAUACCGGAUAAUAUUUUGAACCGCAUGGGUCAAAAGUGAAAGACGGUCUUGCUGUCACUUAUAGAUGGAUCCGCGCUGCAUUAGCUAGUUGGUAAGGUAACGGCUUAUCAAGGCAACGAUGCAUAGACGAACUGAGAGGGUGGUCGGCCACACUGGAGCUGAGACACGGUCCAGACUCCUACGGGACGCAGCAGUAGGGAAUCUUCCGCAAUGGGCGAAAGCCUGACGGAGCAACGCCGCGUGAGUGAUGAAGGUCUUCGGAUCGUAAAACUCUGUUAUUAGGGAAGAACAUAUGUGUAAGUAACUGUGCACAUCUUGACGGUACCUAAUCAGAAAGCCACGGCUAACUACGUG
rnacentral:rRNA from 1 species